UUUUUUUCAGGAAUCAUAUUGACAGGUCAUGAAAAUGAGACCAAAAGAUCUCUGGAAGCGAUUAAUGAUAAAAUUUCAUGGAGAAGAAGGCCUUGACUACGGAGGGGUUGCCAGGUUCAUGUUGCUGAGGAGGCAGAGGGCUGAGUUCUUCCAUCCAUCGCCUUCAAGUGUCAGGCGGCUUCCGGUUGGACAAGAUGGCUACCCCAGUGGGCUUGUUUCCUCUCUGGUCUCUUUUUCUGUCUAAGACUCACUCCAUACCAGCCUGAGCUUGGGACCAUUGUUUUGCUCCUCUCAUCCUCCUACCCCCAGAGCUGACAGAUUUAGCAAAUAAAAUUUACAAGAUCCUGUUAAAUUAGAAUUUCGGACAAACAACAAACUACCCCACACUGUCUCAGGAGGGUCCCUCAGAGAUAAGUGUCACUGAGCCUCGGGAAGGAGGAAGCUCCAUCCCUGCCCAUCAAGCCCCCUCUUGGGGUCCCCUCAAGGAAGACAGUGGUUCCAGAAGGUGUGUUCCCACCCCCUUUCACAGCCUACCUCUCUCCCAUCCCUCUCUGACCCCAGGUUCCAGCUGGCCUGGGGAUUUCUGGGAGGAUCCGAAGAACAAGGC
rnacentral:lncRNA from 10 species